GUUGGGUUCUUUCCCUCGAUGGAGAGCGUUUAAGGAGCAGCAUAAAUUGAGAACAGACAAGGAUGUGGCGGAUAUGCUUCUUGACAGCUAUCUUGCGAUGAAUCGUAUAGUUUGCAAUGCAGAGACGCAAACCGAAACGGUAAUGGAAUCAACGGAUAUGCCGCCAGUUAAAACCUCAACGCCAAGCGCAC